UUAGCUCAUAUUUGUAUGGAAUGGGAUCGUUUGCGUACGUUUGCCGCUAGGGGCGCUGUUCCAACUGCAUACAAAAAUUGGGUU
rnacentral:pre_miRNA from 1 species